GAUGAACGCUGGCGGCGUGCCUAAUACAUGCAAGUCGAGCGAACAGAUGAGGAGCUUGCUCCUCUGACGUUAGCGGCGGACGGGUGAGUAACACGUGGAUAACCUACCUAUAAGACUGGGAUAACUUCGGGAAACCGGAGCUAAUACCGGAUAAUAUAUUGAACCGCAUGGUUCAAUAGUGAAAGACGGUUUUGCUGUCACUUAUAGAUGGAUCCGCGCCGCAUUAGCUAGUUGGUAAGGUAACGGCUUACCAAGGCAACGAUGCGUAGCCGACCUGAGAGGGUGAUCGGCCACACGGGAACUGAGACACGGUCCAGACUCCUACGGGAGGCAGCAGUAGGGAAUCUUCCGCAAUGGGCGAAAGCCUGACGGAGCAACGCCGCGUGAGUGAUGAAGGUCUUCGGAUCGUAAAACUCUGUUAUUAGGGAAGAACAAAUGUGUAAGUAACUAUGCACGUCUUGACGGUACCCAAUCAGAAAGCCACGGCUAACUACGUG
rnacentral:rRNA from 1 species